AGACCACAGGCUGCUCCACAUGAGUCCUUUCCCCAGGUCAUACUGCUUGUAUGACCUUAGGCAGAGGUCUGGUGAGGCUUGUAGGAUUUCUGAACUUCCAGAGCCUGGUAAGGGAUUCCUGAGAGGUCAGCUCCCCUGGUGUGUGCCCAGGAGGAGGUGUUUGAGCUCACAGGAAGUAGCUGGAGAACCUGAGUGUCUGGAGGCUUCGUGCCAAAUCAAGGGUCCCCUCACCACUUGCCAGGCUGCAGCAGAUUUUCUUUCUUUUUAUUUUAUGUGUAUUAGUGUUUGGCCGAAUGUUUGUCUGUGCCCAUAGAAGGCAGAAGAAGGCACUGGAUCCCCUGGGUCUCAAGUCACAGUUGGUUGUGAGCUGCCAUGUUGGUGCCUGGAAUCUAACCUGGAUCCUCUGGGAGAGCAUCCAGUGUUCUUAACCACAGAGCCACCUCUCCAGCCCUGUGACUAUUUGCCUUCAGAGCUUUAUCCCGGAGAUACCAUUAAUUAGGAGAGUACAGCUAUCCAUGAAGACAAAACUUUGUUUUCUGCCCAUAUAAAAAAUUCCUAGAGCAGGACACAGGCUAUAUACACUUGUAAGUUUAGCAUCUGGGAGGCUGAGGCAGA
rnacentral:lncRNA from 1 species